rnacentral:rRNA from 1 species
UACGGGGGGGGCAAGCGUUGUUCGGAAUUACUGGGCGUAAAGGGCGCGUAGGCGGUUGGAUAAGUCAGCUGUGAAAACCACGGGCUUAACUCGUGGCCUGCAGUUGAAACUGUCUGGCUUGAGUGUGGGAGAGGAGAGUGGAAUUCCUGGUGUAGCGGUGAAAUGCGUAGAUAUCAGGAGGAACACCGGUGGCGAAGGCGGCUCUCUGGACCGCAACUGACGCUGAGGCGCGAAAGCUAGGGGAGCAAACAGG